UUAUGUUGCUGCUAAUAUACUGCUGAAACUGCCGAGUUUGCAUUCCAGCCAGGUUCGUCUGAGAGCUAAUGAACAAGUUGUUUCAUGACCAGCAAUACAACAUUCAGCAGCUGCCCCAGUGACCUGCCUCUGCCUGUGCAAACCUCUUCCUUUUCUCUGCUAAUCGUGGUUGCCAUCUGCUGCUGGAAAGUAUCAAGUGCUGAGCGCAGUAGCAGGGAACCAGAGUCCCUUUUCAGACAGGAGCUCCAGCCUUGUUAGGAAGCAUUCAGCUAGGCACAACAACCUCAAGAAAGCUUCCUUCAAGGAAUCCUUCCUUUGCUCCGCUGAAGAAAUUCCUGCGCAUACAUAUUCAUAACUGUACGGCUGGCAGGCCUGAGUCAGGUCAAAGACCUGUCUGCCCUAACCCGCCCUGGCAGACCCUGGGUGGGUAAGGAAAACUGUAAGGCCAGGGCACAUCUCGAGUGAGCAGUUCUCUGUUUCACCCUUCCAGUUUAAACAGAUUUGUACGAAGCCGACUCUCUGAACAACUACGAUGAUAGUUUUACACCUUUGGGAGCGUACAAAAACUUGGUUACAGGGUCUUGCAGAGAAUCCAGCUGCACACAUCCUCCAGUGUGAAAUUUUUUAUGUGGCCAGAACAUGGAACUAGAUUAGAUAUUGCUUGAGCUCUAAUAGUGGCUCCAUGAUAUAUUUAUUUUUUCAGAUGUGCUACUUUACAGUUGUUCUGUGUAAUUCUUGCUUUACUUAUGUCUUAUUUCACAAAUAAUACUUCCUAGAAAAGGCCUUGCUAUACCACUGUACAAGUAAACUACUAACAUGUACCAGAUCAUGAAUACGCUUCACAAGUUUCAGAAAGUGAAGAGUUAAGGAAAGUCAGGUAGGAGGAUCAGUCUGAUUCUAUAGAUGGCAGAGAUAGUCUGGGAAGUGAGUAAUUUCAUAACUCCCAAGAGGAAUGUGGAAGAUCCGCAUAGCCUGACGCCAGUCUGAGGUUUCAGACUCAUCCCACACAGACUACAUGUAGCACUCCUUCCCACCACAACGUCCUCCAAAGGGACUGACACAGGGGCAGCACAGAAGACUUCAGAGACCAGCUGCGAUCGCUGGGAGCGAAUGCUCCACAAGGAUGCAGGUAGAGACAACAACUUGAUUUUCUGGUUGCCUCAGCAAACACCAAGAUGCCGCAGUACUUGGGAUAAGCAGCCAACAGAUUUCUCACAACUGGUCAUGUCUUUUUCCUUAUCUGGGUCUUAGCUGAGGAAGGACAAUGAAAGAGAAGGAAAAUAUUCUCUACGACUCGCCUAAACCAAUGCUUGCACUUGUAGGCAAUGUUAUGCUAAAUAAGAGAGACCGAUACAGAAACACAGUGCUGUUGCAUAUGGAUAUUCAGGGCUUACUUUGAUACCAAAUCUUGCUGAGAAAAAGUUUCCUAAACUUGGGUUUCCAUUUGCUGAAAUGAGUGCAAGGAAAUUUGAUGAUUAAAACUUGCUUUGUUGGUUUCUCAGAAGGCACUGGUUACAGCUCUACUGAGUUAGAAAAAGAAGAAAUAUUGCAAACAAAAUGUGAGAAUUCAUUCCAUACCUUCCAAUUUUUUCCAAAUAUUUUGUAUUGCAUCUCCAGACUUUUUGUAGAAUGCUUCUUUUCUUUAUUUCAAUGAGUGGAAGCUGUGCACAAGACCUGCAGGACUUUGGAACUGAGCACCCAAAAUCCGAGCCUGACAAAAAAGUUCAUCUGCUGGGUUCUGGGAAGAACAGUACUGCCUGGUAGUUGGUGCUACAUCUCAGUCUGACCAUGAAUCAAGCAGAAUCUCGGGAUAAUGCCAGGUGCACUCAGACUGCAAGCAGAUUGCCAGGCAAUAGACGCCUUACAUCUGACCAUGAACCAGACUCCAGAUUCCCGACUGCUGUGCGGGCUUCAGUCCAGAGCCCUGCCCCUGGUGUUUGUGCCAGCCACAUGGACCAUUCUGCUAGUGAGGUACUCCACAUCACUGAGCACCUGAGGAACAUCGACAGGAAAUUCCAGAACUUCCGUGAGCUCUUCGAAAAAGGAGAAGUUAUUUCAGGCCCCGUUGAAGCCAAACUGGCAGAUUUAUUGCAAGCUCUCUCUUCCUUCCGGAACACAUAUCCUGCUUUGACUGGGGAUGCCAUCCAGCCUGCUGUAGCAACCCUUAUCACCAGUAUCAAUGGUCUUGACAGUCAAGAGAGAGGACCUGAAAAUAAGAAGCGGUACAGUGAGAUUUUCCGGAGCCUAGAUGCCAUAGAAAUCUCAAUUGGAAAUGCGACAGUUGAUAUGUUCAUUGGUGAUUUGGAUGGCACUGAUGAUAAAGACCUGACCCCAGAAAGAGAGAUCGUGCCGCUGGGUGAAAGUUUCUGCAAGAGCAAAAACAGUUCGGAGAGACAAGUGCAGACAGACAUAACAGUUGAGGAGGCAGAUGAAAUGCUGAUAAAAUGUGAAAGUGGCAUUGAUGCAGCCCUUGAAUAUGCCAAAAUGUGGUGUAAAUAUGUCAAAGAGCUUCUUAGCUGGAUUGAAAAACGUCUGAAUUAUGAAACAGACUUUGCCAAAGGGAUUGUGAAGAUAGCAGAAUCAGGAAGAAAUGCAAUUAUCCAUCAGUCCAACAUGCCUCUUCGGGCACUCUACACAAUGGUCCUGGAACAUGACAUUAUGGUUGGAAACUCAGCUAAUGAGACUGCAGGAUUGCUUCAACAGAAAGAAUUCUAUCAGCCUCUGUCAGCCAAGAAGAAUGAAAUUGAGAAGUGGAGGAAAGAAUUCAAAGAUCAGUGGAUAAAGGAGCAGAAGAAAAUGAAUGAAUCCUUGUCAUCCCUGCGCAAGUCCCGUUUGCAAUAUGUACAGCGCUGUGAGGAACUGGAGAAAGCAAAGCACCUGAGCGCCAAGGCAGAGGAUGAAUAUCAGAGCACAGCGGUUACCCAUCCUGGCAGUGCCAACAAGCAGCUGGAGAAACGCCGCCGGUCUUGCGAGGAGGCACAAGCAAAGGUUCAAGAAACAGAAGCUCUGUACAAGAUGUGCAUCAGUGAUGCCAACUUCCGACGACAAGAACUGGAAAAAGUGCGAGCACGCAUCAUCUCUCAUAUUCGGAAACUCAUUUACCAAGGAGAUGAGGUGCUGACCUGGGUCACGUUAAGGAUGUUCAAGCAGAGGCAGACUCAGUCCGAACAGAUUCCAAUGGGUUACCAGCACCUGACUGAGGUCUGCAAACCAUACAAAGUGGGUGAGAAAUACCUGGAAUUCAUUCAGACUCUGCAGAAGAAAGAAGUUCAUAUGGAGGUGUUUGAAUUUCAGCCACUUGCUUGUGGGGGGCAGAGGUCCCCCCCCAGUGGCAAAAAAAAGACGACAUUGCAUUACACGGGAGCCUCGUCUGUGGCAAAGGAUGUGAGCCCUCCAGAAGAUGCAUCAAGAAAGCACUUCUCUUCACAUGGUGAACAGGGUACGAGCAAGUCCCUCUGCAGUGACACAGAAAGCCUGGGUGGGAGUUGUGAAUCUCGAUCUCUGGACUCUCCCAAUUCCAGCCCAGGAAACUCUAGCAGGAAGUUGCUAAAAGCUCCAUCCACUGGCACCAUGUCCUCCUCAGAUGAUUUUGAAGAGAGAGAUUCAUUGCAAACUUUUGAAAAUGAAAAUGGAACGUCUCAGCAGCAGUUUAAGAACAUCCUUCUCUCCAGCGCGGCACAGACCCACCGGCUCAGGAAGCUCCGGGGGCCAUCCAAAUGCAGGGAAUGUGACACCUUCAUGGUCAAUGGCUUUGAGUGUGAGGAGUGCUACCUGACCUGCCACAAGAAGUGUCUAGAGAACCUGUUGAUCACCUGUGGCCGCAAGAAGUUGCCUAACCGGGUACCUCUUUUUGGCAUUGACUUCAUGCAAGUACCUCGAGAUUUCCCAGAGGAAGUUCCCUUCAUAGUGGUGAAAUGCACCUCAGAAAUUGAAACUCGUGCCCUCGGAGUGCAGGGCAUCUAUCGGAUAAGCGGAUCCAAGGCCCGGGUGGAAAAACUGUGCCAGGCCUUUGAAAAUGGAAGAAGCCUGGUGGAACUCUCCGAGCACUCCCCCCAUGAUAUCACUGGGGUCCUGAAGCAUUUCCUGAAGGAACUUUCAGGACCUGUGCUGCUGUACCAGCUCUAUGAUGAUCUUAUUGCACUUGCCAAAGAUUUGCAAAAACCCAGUGAAGAAAAGAGAGACUGUACAGGCUUCCCUUCAGAUCCUAUCCAGUGCAUGAAGGACCUGCUGAGCAAAUUGCCUGGAACCAACUACAAUACUCUGCGGCAUCUCAUUGCACACUUGUACAGGGUGGCAGAGAAAUACGAAGAGAACAAGAUGUCCCCAAACAACCUGGGCAUAAUAUUUGGGCCAACUCUGAUCCGGCCAUGCUCAGGGAGCGAUGUCUCAAUGUCAUGCCUUGUUGACUCUGGGUAUCAAGCCCAGAUUGUGGAAUUUCUCAUUCAGAACUACGAAAGGGUGUUUGGGAUGGAUGACCUGCCUUCAUCCUUGUCCCUUGGAUGUGAAAAUCCUUCACAAGAAGCAUCGACAGAGAAGGAUGAAGGACAUCAGAACCCAGACAAAGUCCAGAAUAUAACUCUAGAGGUAGAGCUCCCAGACGCUGAGCUGGGCUUACUGACCCUGCUGUAGAGACAGGAAGGUGGACUAGCAAUUAAAGAGAUUUUUUUCACAGAAAAGGAAACCAUUUGCUAUCAGAGGGCUAUUCAAAGAGGAAGGAGCAGAGAGCUUGUUGCAUAUGCAGUGAGAGAAACUGAAGAAAUUAUGAGCUACAGAUCACUUAGUGGCUUCUCAGACCACUUUGGAUGGUGUUUUUACUGCAUGUUUUAGAAUCCAGCCAUUCUGAAAAGUUGUGGGUUUCUCCACACUGAAUUACUUGGAACACUGCUGUUUCACUCCAUAAACAGCACUAUAGCUUUUGGGGCAGAGGUAUGCGCAUAAAAUCCAGCCGAUUUCUUUGUGCGGCCCUACAGAGCUCUGCUGCAUUCCCAAUUAGAAGCCAUGGACCCUUUAUCUCCCUGCUACUGAGGGCUCCGUAUCCUUUCCAAGCUCCCCAGCUCUUGCCUCACAACAGCUCACGGCUUAUUUCACAGCACUUUGAAAACACAAAUUGGCAUAACAUCCCUGAGCUGGGAUGCGGUGGUUCUGUCUUUUCACAGCUGGCUUGACUAAGCCAGAAAGAGGAAAUGACUUUCCUAAAGUUAAAAAAAGGGAGUCAGAUCCUGUUCUUAGGACUCUCCACCCCCUACUUUUAAGUCAUGGAUGCUUAUGUGCGAGACACUCCAUGUCUGCAAUGAUCACAUCUAUGUCUGACAUGCAGUUAUCCUACUUUCUGUACAGGUCCAGCUCACUGAGGAAGCAGAAAUUAGAGUAACUAUGAUUACAGCUGAAAUAAAAUCACCAGAGUAGACACAAUUCACUUCUGGUAUACAGAAAUCCUACAGGAUUAACAAAACCUUCCCAGAGAACUCUUUGAGAGAUACACAACUAUUACCUUUGACUAGGUUUAUAUUUUCAAAGCCAUUUUACAUAUUUUCUCAGCAUAACUGAACUCUACAAAAGGUGUUGUAAACCUUUGAAAAGAAGAGUUGCUUCUAAUGUAACUCUCAUUUUGUAAUUAAUAAAACCAGCUUCUGGAGCCCCUGUUCAGGUGACAUAAUCCUUGUGUGAACUUGCACUGGUUCCAUAUGAGCUAUGACUCCCAAGAAUUUCUAUGUUAUUGACUCAUCCUCCCAUUUGUAUGUGAUCAUAAUUACUUUGCUAUAGCUAACGUUGAUGCCUGAUGUUUCCCUUUCUCGUUUUAAAAUAGGCUAUUUCAGUGUCAUGUAGGACACAAGGAUCUCAGUCUCAGCACACUGCUUCUCCACAGAAAGCAACGUCUGCUUUCUGGGAAUUUCUCCUCCAAGCAUGAUUUAAAUGUGGACUAUGUGUCU